UACGUAGGGUGCAAGCGUUAAUCGGAAUUACUGGGCGUAAAGCGUGCGCAGGCGGUUGUGCAAGACAGAUGUGAAAUCCCCGGGCUUAACCUGGGAAUGGCAUUUGUGACUGCACGGCUAGAGUGUGUCAGAGGGGGGUAGAAUUCCACGUGUAGCAGUGAAAUGCGUAGAUAUGUGGAGGAAUACCGAUGGCGAAGGCAGCCCCCUGGGUCAAGAUUGACGCUCAUGCACGAAAGCGUGGGGAGCAAACAGG
rnacentral:rRNA from 1 species